rnacentral:rRNA from 1 species
UACGUAGGGGGCAAGCGUUGUCCGGAUUUAUUGGGCGUAAAGAGCGUGUAGGCGGCCAUACAGGUCAGCUGUGAAAACUCGAGGCUCAACCUCGAGACGUCGGUUGAAACCGUUUGGCUAGAGUCCGGAAGAGGAGAGUGGAAUUCCCCGGUGUAGCGGUGAAAUGCGCAGAGUAUCGGGAAGAACACCCGUGGCGAAGGCGGCUCUCUGGGACGGUACUGACGCUGAGACGCGAAAGCGUGGGGAGCGAACAGG